CGGACGGUCUGAGUGACGCGUGAGGAUCUGCCUACAGGUGGGGGACAACAGUUGGAAACGGCUGCUAAUACCCCAUGUGCCGGAAGGUGAAAGGUUAACUGCCUGUAGAUGAACUCGCGUCUGAUUAGCUAGUUGGUGGGGUAAGGGCCUACCAAGGCGACGAUCAGUAGCUGGUCUGAGAGGAUGAUCAGCCACACUGGGACUGAGACACGGCCCAGACUCCUACGGGAGGCAGCAGUGGGGAAUUUUCCGCAAUGGGCGAAAGCCUGACGGAGCAACGCCGCGUGCGGGAGGAAGGCCUUAGGGUUGUAAACCGCUUUUAUCAGGGAAGAACACAAUGACGGUACCUGAUGAAUAAGCCUCGGCUAAUUCCGUGCCAGCAGCCGCGGUAAUACGGGAGAGGCGAGCGUUAUCCGGAAUUAUUGGGCGUAAAGCGUCCGCAGGUGGUCAAUUAAGUCUGUCGUUAAAUCGUGGAGCUCAACUCCAUACAAGCGAUGGAAACUGGUUGACUAGAGUACGGUAGGGGUAGCGGGAAUUCCAGGUGUAGCGGUGAAAUGCGUAGAUAUCUGGAAGAACACCAGCGACGAAAGUGCGCUACUGGGCCUGUACUGACACUCAUGGACGAAAGCCAGGGGAGCGAAUGGGAUUAGAUACCCCAGUAGUC
rnacentral:rRNA from 1 species